GUUUCCUUCAAGCAUGGACUCCGACGCUCAGCAUUGGGUGCAGCGGUUUUAUUGCCUGCACAAUGGGUCAGCAACAUAAAGGACAGGUUUAGAGCAUUUCCUGGUCCGCCUAGACAAAAUACAUACAAUAUUACAAAUGCAAACGAAAAUCAAAACUCAAAUAAAAGAAACAAUACAAUGCCAAAUAUAUGAAGUGUAUUAAACAACCGUCUACAGAUAAGUGACAAUGAUAAAAUUACUUUAAUAAAUGUUUCAUUCGGACACGUUUUAUGCUCAACCUACCUGCAGCAGUUACCGUCUUUUCUGCUGCAGGAUAUCCGGAAUACAACAUUAGCAACACAUCAAAAUAAAAGUCUUGACCCAAUGAUACAGGAUUUAACUAUAUACUAAUUUUAUUUGUUCCGUUACAAUAGCAUCCUAAUCUCGGAUCACGCCCCAACCUCGUUUCUUAUUAAAUUUUCGAAUGUGGCACCGCCCCCCUCUAGGUGGCGCUUACAAUCAAUCUGGCUUAGGGACCCAAGCUUUAUAGAGUAUAUUGGAAAACAAAUAGAUUUAUAUUUUGAUAUCAACACUGACCAGACAACUGCAUCUGUGAGGUGGGAAGCAUUUCAAGCCUUCCUCCCAAACUGAAAGCAAAGUAUAAUGUUUUGUCUACAAAUAAGGCGACAAAAAGCUUGAUGAGAUUAAAGCAAUCGUAUUAUGAACAGGGAGAGAGGGCGGGUAAGUUACUUGCCUGGCGUAUAAAGCAGAUGCAAGCCGAGAGGGCAAUAAACUCCAUCUUGACAGAUAAAGGAGAUACAACUUCAGACCCAAAGGAGAUAAAUGACACUUUUCAAUGUAUUUACCAAAACUUAUAUGGCUCUGAAUACUCAGAGUAUACUCUGAAUACUCUGAAUACCUCUUUGCAAAGUGCUGGCGAGGAGGCUGGAACGGGUCUUACCUCGAAUGGUCCAUUUGGACCAGAGUGGAUUUGUACAGGGUAGACAGGGCUUCCACAAUACGAGGCGGUUGCUUAAUAUUCUAUUUGAAAAGUCUGGCCUCCUUGACCACUCUGUCCUGUCAUUGGACGCAGAGAAGGCCUUUGACAGGAUAGAGUGGCAAUACCUAUUUGAUGUCCUGCAAAGAUUUGGUGUGGGUGUACAUUUUCUCAGAUGGGUUCAGCUUUUGUACUCCAACCCAAAAGCUGAAGUUCUAACUAAUGGUCUCAUGUCAACGCCAUUUAGGCUUAACCGUCGAACGAGACAGGGCUGCCACCUCUCCCCCUUACUCUUCAUCCUGGCUAUUGAGCCACUUGCCAUGGCAAUUCGCAAGCAUGCUGACAUUACAGGAAUUAAAGUCGGAGACAUAGAACAUCGUAUCUCGUUGUAGGCGGAUGACGUAAUUUUAUUUUAUUCCAGAUUGGGGAAAACACUACCUAGCCUGCUGGAUUUGAUGAGAACAUUUGGUACCUUUUCAGGCUAUAAAAUAAACAAUAGUAAAUCAGUGAUAAUGUUUUUGACAGAAAAUGAGAGAAAUAGUCCUCCGAUUGCUACACCAUUUACUGUGUCAAAACAGGGAUUUACUUAUUUAGGUGUCAAAAUUACUCCUAUUGACAAAAUUAUUUCAGCCAAUUAUGACCCCCUUGUGGAUCACGUCACACAAUUGAUAAAUAGAUGGACAAAAUUACCCAUAUCCUUAAUCCGACGCAUUAAUGUCCUGAAAAUGUCGAUUUUGAGUACAUUUUUAUACCUCUUCCAGUCAAUUCCACUCUCUCCUGCUCCUUCCUUCUUUAAAUUGCUUAACAACAUUUUCACAAACUUCAUUUGGAAUAACAAACAGCCUAGACUCAGACUUUCCUCGUUGUAUUUGCCAUAUGACAGAGGUGGGCUGCAUUUCCGAAUUUCCUUUGGUCUCCAAAUCAGAAAUUUUGUUAUCCAAGCAGUGUAAUAGCCUGGCGCUCCCCCCCCUUGUCCAUUUUGGAAGAUGUCACUUUAAAAUAUUUAAGAGCUAGGGGGCAGGUAUCUGUGAUUUACAAUUUGUCUGUUAGUGAAUCUAAGGAGUCUUCAAAUAAUAUUUUACGGGCAUGGAAUAUGGAUUUAGAUGAAAAUAUAUCAGAGGAAGAAUGGUCAGAAGCCUGCUCUUUGGUAAAAACCCAAUCUGUUAACACACAUUCUACACCGUUACAAUAUAAAUGGCUCAGUAGACAGUACAUUACUCCAGUCAAGCUGCACCACUUUAACCCCAAUAUUCCCGACACGUGCUUUAAAUGUAGCCAGCAGAAGGGGUCAUUGUUUCAUUGUAUGUGGAGCUGUCCACAGGUUGCACGCUUUUGGAGAGAGGUACUGAACGUUAUUGGCCGUAUUAUUGGAAAGGUGAUGCCUACUGAUCCUAAGCUAUGUAUCCUAAAUAUUUACCCUGAUAAUUUUGUGAUAACUAAAGAUAAAAAAUCUUUAAUUGGUAUGUGUCUGCUGGAGGCAAAAAGGUGCAUUGCUAGGUCUUGGAAAAAACCAACUGUCUGUGGCGUUUCUGAAUGGUUAAACGGAGUGACUUCCUAUCUGGCACUGGAAAAGAUAAGUUAUUUCACAAAAAACAGGAUUGAUAGGUUUUGGAGUAUUUGCAAGGUCUUUUAUAAUUUCUUAGAAAAUGAAGGUAUACGAAAUGAUGGGAGUGAUGAAGUGAACUGAUUGGAUUGCUGUUGUGGCUGUGCGUAUUUUUUUUUGCUUUUUUUUUAUCUAUUCAUAAUUU
ensembl:lncRNA